rnacentral:rRNA from 1 species
AGUUCGAUUAUGGCUCAGAUUGAACGCUGGCGGGAUGCUUUACACAUGCAAGUCGAACGGCAGCACGGACUUCGGUCUGGUGGCGAGUGGCGAACGGGUGAGUAAUGUAUCGGAACGUGCCUAGUAGCGGGGGAUAACUACGCGAAAGCGUAGCUAAUACCGCAUACGCCCUUCGGGGAAAGCGGGGGACCUUCGGGCCUCGCACUAUUGAAACGGCCGAUAUCGGAUUAGCUAGUUGGUGGGGUAACGGCUCACCAAGGCGACGAUCCGUAGCUGGUUUGAGAGGACGACCAGCCACACUGGGACUGAGACGGCUGAACUCCCUACGGGAGGCAGCAGUGGGGAAUUUUGGACAAUGGGGAAACCUGAUCCAGCCAUCCCGCGUGUGCGAUGAAGGCCUUCGGGUUGUAAAGCACUUUUGGCAGGAAAGAAACGGCCUGGGAUAAUACCCCGUGCAACUGACGGUACCUGCAGAAUCAGCACCGGCUAACUACGUGCCAGCAGCCGCGGUAAUACGUAGGGUGCAAGCGUUAAUCGGAAUUACUGGGCGUAAAGCGUGCGCAGGCGGUUCGGAAGGAAAGAAAGAUGUGAAAUCCCAGAGCUUAACUUUGGAACUGCAUUUUUAACUACCGAGCUAGAGUGUGUCAGAGGAGGUGGAAUUCCGCGUGUAGCAGUGAAAUGCGUAGAUAUGCGGAGGAACACCGAUGGCGAAGGCAGCCUCCUGGGAUAACACUGACGCUCAUGCACGAAAGCGUGGGAGCAAACAAGGAUUAGAUACCCUGGUAGUCCACGCCUAAACGAUGUCAACUAGCUGUUGAGGCCUUCGGGCCUUGGUAGCGCAGCUAACGCGUGAAGUUGACGCCACCAGAAUGCGUUGCAGAUUAAAACUCGAAAGAAUGACGGGAUGUUGCCACAAACAGUGGGAUGGUGUGAUUCAAGUAUUCGGCAUAGCGAAAACACACCUAUACGUGGAGUCCCGAAGAGAUUUGGGAGUGCUCGCAAGAGAACCGGAACACAGGUGCUGCAUGGCUGUCGUCAGCUCGUGUCGUGAGAUGUUGGGUUAAGUCCCACAACAGGCGCAACCUUGUCAUUGAAUUUAUACGAAAGGGCACUCUAUUAAGGACUGCCGGUGACAAACCGGAGGAAGGUGGGGAUGACGUCAAGUCCUCAUGGCCCUUAUGGGUAGGGCUUCACACGUCAUACAAUGGUCGGGACAGAGGGUCGCCAACCCGCGAGGGGAGCCAAUCCCAGAAACCCGAUCGUAGUCCGGAUCGCAGUCUGCAACUCGACUGCGUGAAGUCAGAAUCGCUAGUAAUCGCGGAUCAGCAUGUCGCGGUGAAUACGUUCCCGGGUCUUGUACACACCGCCCGUCACACCAUGGGAGUGGGUUUUACCAGAAGUAGUUAGCCUAACCGUAAGAGGCGAUUACCACGGUAGGAUUCAUGACUGGGGUGAAGUCGUAACAAGGUAAG